GAUGAACGCUGGCGGCGUGCCUAAUACAUGCAAGUCGAGCGAACAGACGAGAGUGCUUGCACUCUCUGACGUUAGCGGCGGACGGGUGAGUAACACGUGGGUAACCUACCUAUAAGACUGGGAUAACUUCGGGAAACCGGAGCUAAUACCGGAUAAUAUUUAGCUUCGCAUGAAGCAAUAGUGAAAGACGGUUCUGCUGUCACUUAUAGAUGGACCCGCGGUGUAUUAGCUAGUUGGUGAGGUAACGGCUCACCAAGGCAACGAUACAUAGCCGACCUGAGAGGGUGAGCGGCCACACUGGGACUGAGACACGGCCCAGACUCCUACGGGAGGCAGCAGUAGGGAAUCUUCCGCAAUGGACGAAAGUCUGACGGAGCAAUGCCGCGUGAGUGAAGAAGGUUUUCGGAUCGUAAAACUCUGUUGUAAGGGAAGAACAAGUACGUUAGUAACUGAACGUACCUUGACGGUACCUUACCAGAAAGCCACGGCUAACUACGUG
rnacentral:rRNA from 1 species